rnacentral:rRNA from 1 species
UACGUAGGGUGCAAGCGUUGUCCGGAAUUAUUGGGCGUAAAGAGCUCGUAGGCGGUGUGUCGCGUCGGCCGUGAAAAACCUGCAGCUUAACUGUGGGCGUGCGGUCGAUACGGGCAUCACUGGAGUUCGGCAGGGGAGACUGGAAUUCCUGGUGUAGCGGUGAAAUGCGCAGAUAUCAGGAGGAACACCGGUGGCGAAGGCGGGUCUCUGGGCCGAUACUGACGCUGAGGAGCGAAAGCGUGGGGAGCGAACAGG